rnacentral:rRNA from 1 species
UGAGGAAUAUUGGUCAAUGGACGAGAGUCUGAACCAGCCAAGUAGCGUGAAGGAUGAAGGUCCUACGGAUUGUAAACUUCUUUUAUAAGGGAAUAAACCCUCCCACGUGUGGGAGCUUGUAUGUACCUUAUGAAUAAGCAUCGGCUAACUCCGUGCCAGCAGCCGCGGUAAUACGGAGGAUGCGAGCGUUAUCCGGAUUUAUUGGGUUUAAAGGGAGCGCAGACGGGUCGUUAAGUCAGCUGUGAAAGUUUGGGGCUCAACCUUAAAAUUGCAGUUGAUACUGGCGUCCUUGAGUGCGGUUGAGGUGUGCGGAAUUCGUGGUGUAGCGGUGAAAUGCUUAGAUAUCACGAAGAACUCCGAUUGCGAAGGCAGCACACUAAUCCGUAACUGACGUUCAUGCUCGAAAGUGUGGGUAUCAAACAGGAUUAGAUACCCUGGUAGUCCACACGGUAAACGAUGGAUACUCGCUGUUGGCGAUAUACUGUCAGCGACUUAGCGAAAGCGUUAAGUAUCCCACCUGGGGAGUACGCCGGCAACGGUGAAACUCAAGGGAAUUGACGGGGGCCCGCACAAGCGGAGGAACAUGUGGUUUAAUUCGAUGAUACGCGAGGAACCUUACCCGGGCUUGAAUUGCAAAGGAAUAAUCUGGAAACAGGUUAGUCUUCGGACCUUUGUGAAGGUGCUGCAUGGUUGUCGUCAGCUCGUGCCGUGAGGUGUCGGCUUAAGUGCCAUAACGAGCGCAACCCUCGCCGCCAGUUACUAACAGUUAAAGCUGAGGACUCUGGCGGGACUGCCAUCGUAAGAUGUGAGGAAGGUGGGGAUGACGUCAAAUCAGCACGGCCCUUACGUCCGGGGCUACACACGUGUUACAAUGGGCGGUACAGAAGGCAGCUACCUGGCGACAGGAUGCCAAUCCCUAAAGCCGCUCUCAGUUCGGACUGGAGUCUGCAACCCGACUCCACGAAGCUGGAUUCGCUAGUAAUCGCGCAUCAGCCACGGCGCGGUGAAUACGUUCCC